UCAGGACGAACGCUGGCGGCGUGCCUWAUACAUGCAAGUCGAGCGGACAGAUGGGAGCUUGCUCCCUGAUGUUAGCGGCGGACGGGUGAGUAACACGUGGGUAACCUGCCUGUAAGACUGGGAUAACUCCGGGAAACCGGGGCUAAUACCGGAUGGUUGUUUGAACCGCAUGGUUCAAACAUAAAAGGUGGCUUCGGCUACCACUUACAGAUGGACCCGCGGCGCAUUAGCUAGUUGGUGAGGUAACGGCUCACCAAGGCAACGAUGCGUAGCCGACCUGAGAGGGUGAUCGGCCACACUGGGACUGAGACACGGCCCAGACUCCUACGGGAGGCAGCAGUAGGGAAUCUUCCGCAAUGGACGAAAGUCUGACGGAGCAACGCCGCGUGAGUGAUGAAGGUUUUCGGAUCGUAAAGCUCUGUUGUUAGGGAAGAACAAGUACCGUUCGAAUAGGGCGGUACCUUGACGGUACCUAACCAGAAAGCCACGGCUAACUACGU
rnacentral:rRNA from 1 species